ACAUCCUAAUGAAGAUGCAAUGAAUGUGACAAUGAUCAGUUCAAUAUUGCCAGACUAGCCUCAUGUUGAUUUACAGGUGGUGUUCCUGUGUCUUCCUCCAGAAAAAUACCUGAGGGACUAAGACACUGUAAUACUUCCUCAGUUCAAAGCGAAGAGUGACCAGCUGCCUCUAACAAACAGAAGGGUUGUGAUUCAAAUUCAAAGAAGACAGAAGAUCUGACGAGUUAGAAUUGACAGCGGGGCAGUCCUGGCGUGUAAGAACACCAAGCAAGUACUCAAAGGACCAAGACAAUGUAAUAUUCCCUCGGUACAGAGCCAAGUGUGACCAGCUGCUUCGAACAAACAGCAGAUCCUUUGUCAGAGAGGGAGAGGCCGACAGCACAGAUGUU